CAGCCGCCACGGUAAUACGUAGGUCCCGAGCGUUGUCCGGAUUUAUUGGGCGUAAAGCGAGCGCAGGCGGUUAGAUAAGUCUGAAGCUAAAGGCUGUGGCUUAACCAUAGUACGCUUUGGAAACUGUUUAACUUGAGUGCAAGAGGGGAGAGUGGAAUUCCAUGUGUAGCGGUGAAAUGCGUAGAUAUAUGGAGGAACACCGGUGGCGAAAGCGGCUCUCUGGCUUGUAACUGACGCUGAGGCUCGAAAGCGUGGGGCGCAAACAGGAUUAGAUACCCCCGUAGUCCCUGUCUCUUAUACA
rnacentral:rRNA from 1 species